GACGAACGCUGGCGGCGUGCUUAACACAUGCAAGUCGAACGGUAAGGCCCUGCUGUUGUGGGGUGCUCGAGUGGCGAACGGGUGAGUAACACGUGAGUAACCUGCCCUUGACUUUGGGAUAACUUCAGGAAAUUGGGGCUAAUACCGGAUAGGUGCUCCUGCUGAAUGGUGGGGGUUGGAAAGUUUCGGCGGUUGGGGAUGGACUCGCGGCUUAUCAGCUUGUUGGUGGGGUAGUGGCUUACCAGGGCUUUGACGGGUAGCCGGCCUGAGAGGGUGACCGGCCACAUGGGGACUGGGAAGCGGCCCAGACUCCUACGGAAGGCGGCAGUGGGGAAUAUUGCACAAUGGGGGGAAGCCUAAUGUAGCAACCCCGCGUGCGGGAUGACGACCUUCGGGUUGUAAACCGCUUUAGCCUUUGCCGAAGCGUGAGUGACGGUAAUGGGUAAAGAAGCACCGGCUAACUACGUG
rnacentral:rRNA from 1 species